UCCAGGAACUAUAAGAACAGGAAGUCCAGAUGCUUCUGAGAGGACCCCAGCUCCUAAUUCUCAUUUGUAGACGGCUCAGAUCAAGACAAUCUCUUCAUGAAACAACUCAACACCUACUAAGGACUCAGAGAGCUUUCCCAAGGACCUUUUUUGUACCAAGACAGAAGGACCAAAACCAUCAGCUUUAAAGAAAACUGUGCCCUUCCCAACACUUGGCUUUGGAAAAAAGACAUGAAUGAUAUAAAUUCUCCGACUUCCAGGAACCAUAACUAGCAGGGAAGUCCAGAUGCAUCUGAGAGGCUCCCAUCUCCUGAUUACCAUAUUUGGAAGGCUCCAAUCAAUACUAUCUUUUCAGCAAACCUUCUCAACCACUACCCAGAAAUGACUGAGAUUUCCCAUGGACCACAUAUUUCUUUUUUUUUAUAACAAAGCAGAAGGCCAGCUUCCUUCUUCCCAUCUCUGAUCACUUCAUCCUCUUUUUUCUCCUUCCCAAAGGCUGUUUAUGCUGAAUUAGAGGACAAAUAGUAAACCCUAGAGGUACUGAAGGACUACUGGAGAGGAAACUUCUGUCAGGACAACACUUGUUACAUCACAGAAGAAACUAGGGAUCUCCAGGAUACAACAGAUUUUUUUAGAUAGGCCUAAUGGUGAUGUCAUUGAGAAUUGCCAUGGCCUACCUGCUAAAGUGUUUUCCUUUCAAUGACCAGAUUCGAGGGUGCCCUUGCAAGGGCCAGACGUGAAGGUUUUCGAGGUUUUACCAUGGUUGUUACUUCAGGACAAACAUAAAAUUCAGGAGGAUGUGCAGGGAGAUGAAUGGCUUGAUGUCCAGGGAAACUUCAACUUCAAUAGGUUCAUAAGAACAAGAGGGAGGUGUUUGGAAUUGCCAUUUGUGGAUUCUACAUUCUUGCCCUAGGUGUACAUAAUCCAUGUGAAAAUUCCACCUAACCCCAUAGCUGUAGGAGCCACCAAAUGUAUAGUUGGAACGAGAUGUACAUCUUUCCUGAGAGACACAGCUUGAGCAAGUCAAAUACAGAAGAGAAUGCUACUGGCAAACCAGUGAACCAAAAAUGGAUCUCUUGUUGGUAGUUUUUGAGAAAGAAUUACAAGAGCUUAAGGGGAUUUCAAAUCCAUAAGAACAACAAUGCCAGUGAACCAGAGCUUUCUGGUACUAAACCAAUAUUCAAAGACUGUACUUGGACAGACCUAUGUGUCCAACUGCAUAUUUAGCAGUGGAUGGCCUUGUUGGGAACCAAUGGAAGGAGAAGUUCCUGGUCCAACCUAGGUUUAACUCUCAGUUCAAGGUAAUAUCAAGGUUCACUAAGGUAGGUUAUAGAAGAAUGUUAGGGGGACUAGUUACGGGUCUUAUGGACAUGAAACUGGGAAAGAAAAUCAAAUUUGAAAUUCAAAUAUAGAAAUAUCCAAAUAAAAAAGCAAUAAAAUUUGCUAAAAAUUUAAAAAAAAUGAAAUAAAUUAAAGAAAAGACAUCUGUCAGCUAAUUACACAUAUUGACUCAGAAAUCUAAAGGGUAACUAUCAGCAAAUGGUAAUCAGAGUAAUACUAGUGGAAAGACUGAGAUGAUGAAGUCUCAACUAGAAGCUCUUCUCUCCCAAAUAUCAGUGUCAGACACAAACUGCACUAUAGGUAUCCAAAGCAUGGAGGCGUUUACACUGAGCUGAGGACACAAUACUUGUCUAUCCUUUGUUUCUUCGGACCUUAUUCUUCAGGGUAAAAAGAG